rnacentral:rRNA from 1 species
CCUACGGGAGGCAGCAGUGGGGAAUAUUGCACAAUGGGGGAAACCCUGAUGCAGCGACGCCGCGUGAGUGAAGAAGUACUUCGUUAUGUAAAGCUCUAUUAGCAGGUACGAAAAUGCCGGUACCUGCGUAAGAAGCCCCCGCUACCUACGUGCCAGCCGCCGCGGGAAUACGUAGGGGGCAAGCGUUAUCCGGAUUUACUGGUUGUAAAGGGAGCGUAGACGGCAGUGCAAGUCUGGAGUGAAAGUCGGGGGCUCAACCCCCGGACUGCUCUGGAAACUGUACGGCUGGAGUGCAGGAGAGGUAAGUGGAAUUCCGAGUGUAGCGGUGAAAUGCGUAUAUAUUAGGAGGAACACCAGUGGCGAAGGCGGCUUACUGGACUGUAACUGACGUUGAGGCUCGAAAGCGUGGGGAGCAAACAGGAUUAGAUACCCCAGUAGUC